rnacentral:rRNA from 1 species
AGAGUUUGAUCCUGGCUCAGAAUCAACGCUGGCGGCGUGCCUAACACAUGCAAGUCGAACGCGAAAGGGGCUUCGGCCCUGAGUAGAGUGGCGAACGGGUGAGUAACGCGUGGGUGACCUACCCUUGAGUGGGGGAUAACGUUCCGAAAGGGACGCUAAUACCGCAUGACAUUCCGGGUUCGAAGACCUGGAAAUCAAAGCCGGGGACCGCAAGGCCUGGCGCUCGAGGAGGGGCCCGCGUCUGAUUAGCUAGUUGGCGGGGUAAUGGCCCACCAAGGCGACGAUCAGUAGCCGGCCUGAGAGGGCGGACGGCCACACUGGGACUGAGACACGGCCCAGACUCCUACGGGAGGCAGCAGUGGGGAAUUGUUCGCAAUGGGCGCAAGCCUGACGACGCAACGCCGCGUGGAGGAUGAAGGUCUUCGGAUUGUAAACUCCUGUUGAUCGGGACGAAAAGCUUCGACCUAACACGUCGAGGACUGACGGUACCGGUGAGAG